rnacentral:lncRNA from 1 species
AUUUCAGAGGAUUUGGGGAGUGCGCUUGGCCACUACCCUCAUUUUGCAAGUAUGUGACUUCUUUCUUACACAGUGGCCCUGCCAGGAUGGCUCCAUCAGAAAGUCCCCUCCGUUUGAUCCGUAGACCUUGCGUUGACAGGUGCAGGCUACUAGGACGGGCACAGGCUGGGCUAGGCUCCCUGCUGCAUCUCCUACACAGUUCCCAGGGAGAACGAGCGCUUGUCUCUGGAGAAGGCUUCCAAGGAUGGAUGGGUGUUGCAUUCUCAGUUCCAAGUCUCCGGUAACAAAAGUGGAAGAGAACAAACUAGAUUGAGGAGGCAAGUUCCCAGCACAGAGAUCUCUGGAUUUACAUAAAUAUAAAGAUGAAUUUGUAUGUCUGUGAAGGAGUUCAGGAAAUGCCACCUCCAAAUCUGAUGCCUUGGUAUUUCUGAUUACUUUGAACUGAAGGCACUUGGGGAACAGAAGAUUUGGGCUUUCUCUGAGCUCCCUUGAUGCGCCUAAAGACUGAUCCUCCAAAAGGAACUCAACUGUCAUAAAUCUUCUCCCUGGGAAUCUUAGCAACCAGUGAAGAUUAUCUUGGACCACAGGAGAUAAGAUUGGAGUUUGGUGCCACACCCAGACUCUCACCUAUUCUUCUGAGGGCUGCUCUGAGACAACUUUUACCAUCUGAGAGAUCGCUUAGCUGCACGAAAACACAAGCUUUAUUCAACACGUAUUUCUUCCCUUCACCCUCCCAUGGCUUUUCUCCACCAACCCUUAGAAACCCCAAAACCCUAUUCCUUUCUAUAGCUCAGGAUAUUAUAUAAGCUUCAAUCAUCUGGCCCUUCUUCAAGUCACAUAUGUCUGUGGGACUCUGUGCAUCAUAUGUAAUUGAAUAUAGUUUUUGUCUUGUUAAUCUGUCUUAUGUCAAUUUAAUUAGCAGCCCAGCCAAGGAACAUAGAGGGGUGAAGGGAGCCAUUUUCACUCUCCUACAUCUGGAAAUCACACCCUACCAGAUUUCUCAACCUUGUCUUUUUUAUGGAAGGCUCAGCACUUAGGGACUCUUAGAAAUGGAAGCAAUCCGAAAUGAUUAUUGACGUGAAAGGGUGGUCCAUGAACAGCAGCAUCCACACUGCCUGCAAGCCCAUUGGUAAUGCAGAAUCUCAGCUUCACUGCAGACCUAUUGAAUCAGAAUCUGCCUUUCAACCAGAUCUCCAAAUAAUUCAAGAGCAUAAUCAAGAAUGAGAAGUGCUCUUGUCCUUCAGCUCUGACCGAUCCCUUUCACUUCCCCUGAAAGACAGCCAACUCUCCAAAACUUUCCUUCUCAUCAGCUGUCACAGAGCUUUCUGAAGCAGUGUGUAUUGUCAGCCCUCUCUUCUCCAAGCAAAGCAAUUAACACACUCAACAAAUGUGUGUGGGGUGCUCACUGUGUGUUAUGUGUCCAUGGGGAGGAGAGAUACAUGUGUGAGGACCCCUGCACAGUGGCCCAUUCUCUCCGUUCUCCUGACUUCAGGUGUUUCAGCCAGUUCUUGGAAUGACAUGGCUUCCAGACCCCUUUGUCAUUGUCCUUCAGCUCAUCCAUGUUGUCAAAAAUAAUUCUUUAAUAUUAUUUCAUUCAAAAACAUAUUUAACUGAAUAAUUUUGAAUGGAUAUUUGAAUAAGUCCCCCUUAAAGUCUGGCACUCAAACAGGACCCUAUAUUUCCAAAGUUGCCUGAAAAAAUGAGUAAUUGAGGGAACUUUUACUUUUGUGGUCUGGAUAGAAUCACCUGGGUGUCUCAAGUGUGAACGCCAUCUCUAUCUCCAACUAACUAUCUAUGGUGAGUGGGGUGGCCAUCUUCAUCAUGAAAUGAGGCCCUUGGAGUGCAUCACUAAGGUCCCUUGUGUUCCACAUUUUAUUCCUGAUGCUGAAAGGAAGGAACAAGAAAUGCUGCCACAUUGCACUCCUCGGCCCCUCUGUCCUUCCUUUCCACCAGUUACCAAGCCCCCCAUGUCAGGGACAUCCCUCGGCCCUGGAGAUUCAGCAGUGACAUGAGCAAGGAUGCAGAUUCCAUUCUAAAAAGAAAAGACUGAAAACAGAGGAACCCAUAAGCGAGCAUCUUGACCUGCAGCAUUCUGGCCCACUCAGAUGGAAACCACCUUUGCAAGAAUUAUAACAGUAAGAAAAUUAUGGCAGUAAAAGAGAUAUGAUCUAACUCACCCUCCAUCUUGCCUUUCCCUUAAUUAUUGCUGGGCUUUUGGGCUAGCUAACUUUGGAAGACAUUUAGGUUAUAGUUUAAAUGAUAAUAGCCCUUCCCCCAAACUUGACUCCCUCUAUAAAGCUAAUGAAAGGCCAUGGGGCUAUGGGGGUGGAAAGGAGCCUGAUUCUGCUAAGGUGCAGACAUAGAUUGCCAGCCAUUCCUGCAGAUAACACCACUAUUGUAGAUUGGCCUUUUGAGAUAGCUUGUCAGAUUUUUUGAAUGUCUGACACCUAUGGCUCCAAGCCGACCCACCGAUCCCACUCCUGUGACCCCACCCAGAAGCAAUUCAGCAUGCAGGAGGACAGCUUCUAUCCCCCCAACCCCACACUUCAGCUAUAACAGGAAAUAUCCUCUCCAUAGAGCAUACAGUAAGUGAAUGACUUUGUAACUUUACUUCAUCCUCUUCAUUUACAUAGGGCAUACCCCAAGUCGAGGGUAUCUAAACUCUCAAACAUUCUGUAACAGAGCCUUUGAGCCCCUAUGCUCAGACCCGCUCCCACACUGUGGAGUGUACUUUCAUUGUCAAUAAAUCCCUUCAUUCCUUCUUUGCUUUGUUUGUACGUUUUGUCCAAUUCAGUAUGCCAAGAACCUGGACACCCUCCACCAGUAACAGAGGGAAGGGUUUGCUUCUUCUCUUGCUGUGGCCCUACCCAUUGUGCUUUCUCAUCUCUGUUUUGCAAGCAGCCUUCUUAAGAA